AUAGAAGCCGCCAUUACUGCAAAUAGCACUUACCUGCCUGUCAUGGUGAUGAAAUGGCUCCUAUACGUUUUGUACAAGAAGGCAGAGGAUGGACAGCCCACCAUCAUUGGUGGAGAAGAAGAUAGAGGACCCAUGAUGUCACUGGACUGGUCAGAAUACAAGACCCCUAAAAUAAAAGAAAAUUACAGCACUGCAGACUGAAAAGGAAAGGUAA